rnacentral:tRNA from 1 species
GCCCCGAUAGUGUAGUACGGCCUAUCAUCUUCGGCUGUCACCCGAUGGACACGGGUUCGAAUCCCGUUCGGGGCGCCA